UACGAAGGGGGCUAGCGUUGCUCGGAAUUACUGGGCGUAAAGCGCACGUAGGCGGAUCUUUAAGUCAGAGGUGAAAUCCCAGGGCUCAACCCUGGAACUGCCUUUGAUACUGGAGAUCUUGAGUCCGAGAGAGGUGAGUGGAACUCCGAGUGUAGAGGUGAAAUUCGUAGAUAUUCGGAAGAACACCAGUGGCGAAGGCGGCUCACUGGCUCGGUACUGACGCUGAGGUGCGAAAGCGUGGGGAGCAAACAGG
rnacentral:rRNA from 1 species